rnacentral:rRNA from 1 species
UCAAGUGAAGAAGCGCAUACGGUGGAUGCCUUGGCAGUCAGAGGCGAUGAAAGACGUGGUAGCCUGCGAAAAGCUUCGGGGAGUCGGCAAACAGACUUUGAUCCGGAGAUCUCUGAAUGGGGGAACCCACCUAGGAUAACCUAGGUAUCUUGUACUGAAUCCAUAGGUGCAAGAGGCGAACCAGGGGAACUGAAACAUCUAAGUACCCUGAGGAAAAGAAAUCAACCGAGAUUCCCUUAGUAGUGGCGAGCGAACGGGGAUUAGCCCUUAAGCUUCAUUGAUUUUAGCGGAACGCUCUGGAAAGUGCGGCCAUAGUGGGUGAUAGCCCCGUACGCGAAAGGAUCUUUGAAGUGAAAUCGAGUAGGACGGAGCACGAGAAACUUUGUCUGAACAUGGGGGGACCAUCCUCCAAGGCUAAAUACUACUGACUGACCGAUAGUGAACCAGUACCGUGAGGGAAAGGCGAAAAGAACCCCGGAGAGGGGAGUGAAAUAGAACCUGAAACCGUAUGCGUACAAGCAGUGGGAGCCUACUUGUUAGGUGACUGCGUACCUUUUGUAUAAUGGGUCAGCGACUUAUAUUCAGUGGCAAGCUUAACCGUAUAGGGUAGGCGUAGCGAAAGCGAGUCUUAAUAGGGCGUUUAGUCGCUGGGUAUAGACCCGAAACCGGGCGAUCUAUCCAUGAGCAGGUUGAAGGUUAGGUAACACUGACUGGAGGACCGAACCCACUCCCGUUGAAAAGGUAGGGGAUGACUUGUGGAUCGGAGUGAAAGGCUAAUCAAGCUCGGAGAUAGCUGGUUCUCCUCGAAAGCUAUUUAGGUAGCGCCUCAUGUAUCACUCUGGGGGGUAGAGCACUGUUUCGGCUAGGGGGUCAUCCCGACUUACCAAACCGAUGCAAACUCCGAAUACCCAGAAGUGCCGAGCAUGGGAGACACACGGCGGGUGCUAACGUCCGUCGUGAAAAGGGAAACAACCCAGACCGCCAGCUAAGGUCCCAAAGUUGUGGUUAAGUGGUAAACGAUGUGGGAAGGCUUAGACAGCUAGGAGGUUGGCUUAGAAGCAGCCAUCCUUUAAAGAAAGCGUAAUAGCUCACUAGUCGAGUCGGCCUGCGCGGAAGAUGUAACGGGGCUCAAACCACACACCGAAGCUGCGGGUGUCACGUAAGUGACGCGGUAGAGGAGCGUUCUGUAAGCCUGUGAAGGUGAGUUGAGAAGCUUGCUGGAGGUAUCAGAAGUGCGAAUGCUGACAUGAGUAACGACAAUGGGUGUGAAAAACACCCACGCCGAAAGACCAAGGGUUCCUGCGCAACGUUAAUCGACGCAGGGUUAGUCGGUUCCUAAGGCGAGGCUGAAAAGCGUAGUCGAUGGGAAACAGGUUAAUAUUCCUGUACUUCUGGUUACUGCGAUGGAGGGACGGAGAAGGCUAGGCCAGCUUGGCGUUGGUUGUCCAAGUUUAAGGUGGUAGGCUGAAAUCUUAGGUAAAUCCGGGGUUUCAAGGCCGAGAGCUGAUGACGAGUCGUCUUUUAGAUGACGAAGUGGUUGAUGCCAUGCUUCCAAGAAAAGCUUCUAAGCUUCAGGUAACCAGGAACCGUACCCCAAACCGACACAGGUGGUCGGGUAGAGAAUACCAAGGCGCUUGAGAGAACUCGGGUGAAGGAACUAGGCAAAAUGGCACCGUAACUUCGGGAGAAGGUGCGCCGGCUAGGGUGAAGGAUUUACUCCGUAAGCUCUGGCUGGUCGAAGAUACCAGGCCGCUGCGACUGUUUAUUAAAAACACAGCACUCUGCAAACACGAAAGUGGACGUAUAGGGUGUGACGCCUGCCCGGUGCCGGAAGGUUAAUUGAUGGGGUUAGCGCAAGCGAAGCUCUUGAUCGAAGCCCCGGUAAACGGCGGCCGUAACUAUAACGGUCCUAAGGUAGCGAAAUUCCUUGUCGGGUAAGUUCCGACCUGCACGAAUGGCGUAACGAUGGCGGCGCUGUCUCCACCCGAGACUCAGUGAAAUUGAAAUCGCUGUGAAGAUGCAGUGUAUCCGCGGCUAGACGGAAAGACCCCGUGAACCUUUACUGUAGCUUUGCACUGGACUUUGAGCCUGCUUGUGUAGGAUAGGUGGGAGGCUUUGAAGCGUGGACGCCAGUUCGCGUGGAGCCAUCCUUGAAAUACCACCCUGGCAUGCUUGAGGUUCUAACUCUGGUCCGUAAUCCGGAUCGAGGACAGUGUAUGGUGGGCAGUUUGACUGGGGCGGUCUCCUCCUAAAGAGUAACGGAGGAGUACGAAGGUGCGCUCAGACCGGUCGGAAAUCGGUCGCAGAGUAUAAAGGCAAAAGCGCGCUUGACUGCGAGACAGACACGUCGAGCAGGUACGAAAGUAGGUCUUAGUGAUCCGGUG